rnacentral:lncRNA from 1 species
CUGUUGUUCUCUACUCUCCCCUAUUGGUAGAUUAGUGUUAGAACAAUCAAAAAAAGGUUUCAGUGUGUAUCAAGUUGUUGGCUUUCUAACUAAGAGUCAGACGAGCACAAUGUUAUUACAAAACUGACUGAUUUGUUGCGCAGCAACGCACCUGGUGCCAUUUCGUACACAGAGAUCUGUGAUUUACACGGGAAAGGUCAUUGCGUUGGACACUUGAACCAGUUCCUCACUGCAGUACCCAGUCUUCAUCUUCAGUACCCUAGCUGGAGAAGAGCACACAGGCUGCAGGCUAGAGCUCUCCCAGUCGUUCAGGAACAGGUAAAAGAAAAUGUGGAAUUCAAUCACUGCGCAUAUCAGGGGUCUAUUCACUAAGAACCAAGC